rnacentral:rRNA from 1 species
UACGUAGGGUGCAGGCGUUAAUCGGAAUUACUGGGCGUAAAGCGUGCGCAGGCGGCUCCUUAAGUCAGAUGUGAAAUCCCCGGGCUUAACCUGGGAACUGCGUUUGAAACUGAGGGGCUUGAGUGUGGAAGAGGGGGGUGGAAUUCCAGGUGUAGCAGUGAAAUGCGUAGAGAUCUGGAGGAACACCGAUGGCGAAGGCAGCCCCCUGGGCUGACACUGACGCUCAUGCACGAAAGCGUGGGGAGCAAACAGG